rnacentral:rRNA from 1 species
CAGUAGCCACGGUAAUACGUAGGGUGCGAGCGUUAAUCGGAAUUACUGGGCGUAAAGCGUGCGCAGGCGGUUUUGUAAGACAGGCGUGAAAUCCCCGGGCUCAACCUGGGAAUGGCGCUUGUGACUGCAAAGCUAGAGUGCGGCAGAGGGGGAUGGAAUUCCGCAUGUAGCAGUGAAAUGCGUAGAUAUGCGGAGGAACACCGAUGGCGAAGGCAAUCCCCUGGGCCUGCACUGACGCUCAUGCACGAAAGCGUGGGGAGCAAACAGGAUUAGAUACCCCCGUAGUCCCUGUCUCUUAUAC